rnacentral:rRNA from 1 species
CGGCAACAGCUCAAAUUUGAAAUCUGGCUCUUUCAGAGUCCGAGUUGUAAUUUGCAGAGGGUGCUUUGGUGGUAGUUGCGGUCUAAGUUCUUUGGAACAGGACGUCACAGAGGGUGAGAAUCCCGUCUUUGACACGGACUGCCAGGGCUUUUGUGAUGUGCUCUCAAA